AGCAAGGCCUGGACAUCAAGGCUUACUCCAAGCUUCAGGCUCACACUGAAUACUCACUAAAGAAUCUUUCCUUAGUAGUCUUCACCAACCAGAAUUUGAGAAAGACAUAAUCUAGAGAUUGGUGAAUGUCUUUCCUAUCUUGCUUCCAAAAUAUCGAGGUGUCCAGAGGAUCCCUUGGGCUGCAGCUAAACUAGUGUGCCUCUGAACCAACUGGUACAGAAAGAUGAAGACUUCAGAAUCACAGAGGGCUGACAUGGAGGGCAGGUGCUCCUGGCUGCUCGUAUGAUGUCCAAAAGAACUAAACCUUCGAAAUGGUAAUAUUGGCAUGUGCAAAAUGGAAAUAAUUACACCAACUUCAGUCUGGAGAGCCAAGUGACAUGUUCAAGAUCAGAGUUCUUAGAAGAGGAGCAAAUUCAAGCUUUCCCUGGAGAGUCCAGCUCAUUACUGUACAUCAGUCUGCACUGGAUAAAAUCAGUAAUAUAACCUGAAUUGCAAAGGACAAAAAUGAAGAAAGACAGCAUUGAAGCUCCAGAACAACACAUGCUUGUGAAAGUAUUCCAAAUAAUUGUGAUGCCUACUGAGAUUGAAGACCACUGAUUUAGGUUAUAAAUAGUACUUCCUCAGCAUGGACUGAAUGCUCUUAAAUUUAACUGUUUACUUGUAUCCUCCAUUGUUCUGCAAUUACUCUGCAAGAGCAGGCACCGGUCUCUCAAGUGAUUAUAUUCCCAUUGCCUAAUAUUGGGAGUGACAGGACUAUGAUACAGUCCAGUAUGUCUUCUGAGGAAAGAAAGAUCAUGCAGACCACUGAGUCCUCCAGCCCCGCCACUGAUUCUCAGGAGUCAGGCAGGCUUUUGAAGAUGGUGAAGCCAGAUGGCUGGGAAAGCUCUCCUGGUGCCUGCACUGUACCUGUGCCAACAAGUUUCAUCUUCUCCCAGAUGCCAUAUGAAAUGUCAAUAAGGAACCUCAACUUGCCAGUGUUU